GAUGAACGCUGGCGGCGUGCCUAAUACAUGCAAGUCGAGCGAACAGACGAGGAGCUUGCUCCUCUGACGUUAGCGGCGGACGGGUGAGUAACACGUGGAUAACCUACCUAUAAGACUGGGAUAACUUCGGGAAACCGGCGCUAAUACCGGAUAACAUGUUGAACCGCAUGGUUCAACAGUGAAAGACGGUUUUGCUGUCACUUAUAGAUGGAUCCGCGCCGCAUUAGCUAGUUGGUAAGGUAACGGCUUACCAAGGCAACGAUGCGUAGCCGACCUGAGAGAGUGAUCGGCCACACUGGAACUGAGACACGGUCCAGACUCCUACGGGAGGCAGCAGUAGGGAAUCUUCCGCAAUGGGCGAAAGCCUGACGGAGCAACGCCGCGUGAGUGAAGAAGGUCUUCGGAUCGUAAAACUCUGUUACUAGGGAAGAACAAAUGUGUAAGUAACUAUGCACGUCUUGACGGUACCUAAUCAGAAAGCCACGGCUAACUACGUG
rnacentral:rRNA from 1 species